rnacentral:rRNA from 1 species
GACAGAGGGGGGCAAGCGUUGCUCGGAAUCACUGGGCGUAAAGGGCGCGUAGGCGGGAUGGCAAGUCAGUCGUGAAAUCUCUCGGCUCAACCGAGAAACGUCGGCUGAUACUGCCGUUCUUGAGGGAUGCAGAGGAGACUGGAAUUCCCGGUGUAGCGGUGAAAUGUGUAGAGAUCGGGAGGAACACCGGUGGCGAAGGCGGGUCUCUGGGCAUCUCCUGACGCUGAGGCGCGAAAGCGUGGGGAGCAAACGGG